GAUACAGAUAUUGAGGGAAAUAGUUUAAAACUGAGUAUAUGAUAUACUUUAUAUACUAAGUAUAUAAAACCUGGUUCUUUAUAUAGUAUAUCAAGUAUAAUACUUGAUAUUCUAUAUCAAGAACCAUGUUUUAAUUAUUUUAAAGAUUUAGACACCGCAGAAUCUCAUGCAGAAUCAUUUUUUUCAAAAGGAAAACCUAUUAAUAAUACAGCAAGUUUAUCCUGAUAAUUUAAUAGAAUUAAAUAUCUUUAAUUGACAACUUUUAGAUUGUGUUAUUCAAAAUAAUCCGACCAGUACAUUAGUUAAUGAACUUUUUGAAAUAUUACAAAAUCAAGGUUUAGAACUUCGCAAAGAUGCAAGAAAAAUUUUUGAAAACACCUAGAGGUAUUAGAGGUGUUUUUAAAACUUUCUCUGCAUCUUCAAGAUAAACAGUUAUUAAUUGUUCCUAAAAAGUGUGGUAUUAAUUACUCUUAUUUUGAAAUACAGGCAAGUAUUACAUAUUUUUUAAAUUUCGUAAUUGAUGGUUUACCUUUAUUUAAAUUCUCUAGUAAACAAUUCUGGCCAAUAUUAGCUUGCUUUGAUUAUUUUAAUAUUUUUAUAGUUGCCAUUUAUUGUAGUGAAACCAAACCUAAUUCACUAACUAAAUACUAUUUUUUCUUUGAGUCAAGUCAAUAAUACGAAAUUGUUUUCUAUACAAUAAAAAAUAUAAAUAAAAACUAUAAAUAAAAAUUAUAUAAAAUCUUAUAAUGGUUACAACUUUUGUAAAAAGUGUUCCAUUUAUAAAACUUAUGAAGCAAUAAUUGUGUUUAAUAAGGACAUUUUUUUACACACCUAUCUCUUAUAAAAAUCAACUGUUACGACUGGUUUAGUUUUUUAAAUUAAAUUCAUUUGAAUCUUUUCCAAAAAAAAAAUCACACAUAAUAAUAAAAGCAUUAGUUGUACCAGACAUUUCAAAAUCUGGUUUAAACAAUCCUUUGAAGAUACAUGUAAUUAAUUUCUUUUUUUUUUCUUUUUCGUUCAAUUUAAAUAAAUAAUUAUAAUUAAAAUCAAUAUUUAUAUUUAUUAUUUGAUAAAAUUUAUUUUUUAGUAACUUAUCCAACUUCAAAUUAGAAUGAGAAAAAUGAUUUAAAGAUGGAAAAGAUUUGAUAUUCUUUUCUAUAUGAAUGAAUUUUUGAUAAUUUAUGGUUUUUAGUUUUAACAUUUAGUAAAAAAAUAUGUAUAACACAGCAAACAUUUAAAUAAAACGUUCUUUUUAUUGUAAUGUAUUGUUUUUUUUAGAGGUGGCAGAUAGAAAAAAUAGUUUUGUAAAAAAGAUGGUAAAAGAGAAGCCAAUAAAAACCUUUGUAGUUAAAGAUAGUGAAGGUAUGUAUUCAAAACUUACCUAUUCAUUUAUAAUUGUUAGCAUUUCAUUUUAGUUGUAAUUUAUUUUUUAGAGGAGGCAGAUAAUCAUAUAAAAAGCUCAGUAGUUAAAGACAGUUAAGAGGUGGCAGAUACAAAAAAAAGUUUCGUAGUUAAAGAUGAAAUAGUAAAUACAAGAAAAAGCUGCAUAGUUGAAGAUACAGAAGGUCUUUGGAACCUGAAAAAAAGCCAUCAGGAAUUUAAAGUGUUUGAAAAGGAAUUUAAAGUGUUUCCAAAGUUUGUUAUUGAGCUAAUUAGAAAAAUGCACUUAUGCUAGAUUUAUUAGGACUAUUUAUUGAUCCAAAAAUCAAAUCAACUUUAGUAUUAGACAUAUUCAAAAUGGACAGGCAAAAGAAAUUUCUCUAUUUAAAAUUUAUGCUGAAGUUAUUUGAAAUUCGAAAUAGUAAAAUAAGUGGUCAAACUAUAAACAGAAUUAUUAAAGUUCUAGAAAUUACCUUUGAUGCUCGAAUAUGGUAUGAGCUCAUGAAAAUGUAUACUUGAUAUUUAAGAAUUAAUUGAACCUCUACGAUGUUGGCUCAAAUAUUUUUGAUAAAGUCAGAUAACAAAAUACAUCAAAGAUUUUUCUUCUUAUUCAGAAAGUCUUUAGACAUUAUGUACAACUUGUUUCCAAAGUUUCUCAUAUUGUUUAUGGUAUGGAAGCACGUCAAAACUUAUUGUGGAUAAAAUUCUAAUCAGAAAGCAUCGAAAGAGUUUUAUGUUUAAAUGUUUAUUUGUGUCUAAAUAAAUUUUUGUUAUAUGAAUUUGAGUGAGUGAAUAAUUCUUUUAAUUAUUUUGAUAUUUAAAGUUAUUUUUUAAAAAAUUUUAUUAAUGCAAUUUUUUCUGUGUGUAUAGAUUUUCUAUGUGCAUAGAUUAUAUAAUAUGUAUUUCUAUGUGUAUAGAUUGUAUAAUAUAAAAUGUGUAUAGA
rnacentral:lncRNA from 1 species